CUCAUGGGAAGAUCUGACGCUUGGGACACUUGGAAGACUGCAGAGGGAGAGGGGAGGGGAAAGACGAGGGAGGACCCGAUCCUUCUGGAGGAGAUCUGCGCUCGUGAGGACCAGAUGUGGAACCUCAGGGGGAUGAAAAGAGAGUCUGACUAUUUGGACGUGCAGGAGGAGAGGGAGAGGGUGAUUGCA
rnacentral:ribozyme from 11 species